rnacentral:ncRNA from 1 species
UAAUCAUGCAGCGGGAGCUCGGCGUCACCGGGCUGAGAGGGUGGUAAGGCCACCGACCGACAGACCUGAUCUGGGUAAUGCCAGCGGAGGGAAUAACCCCAUGUUA